CGCUCUUCCAGAGCGCACGGUGAGAUCUAUUUUUGUGUGCCAGCGCUCAGAAGUGCUGUUUCCUUUCCUAGCCCACGCAGCUGGAAACUAUGGGGAGGGGGGGAAAUAGGUGGAGGUAUUGGCUGUGGCCUGCAUCUCCGCUCCACACACACAGAAACUGCCCUGUAACCACAGUGACGUCCUGGCUGGUGUCUCCACACUGCGAAUACUGCUAACUUUGACAAGACCUCCUUGCCCUAUUGAAUGCGUGUGCUGCCUCGUUAUUUCACUUCUCUCUCGUUGUAGGGGAGCAGUAUCCCCCACCUUGAGCUUCAUUAGACCAAGAUACUAUGUCUCAACCGGCUGGCUAAAGUAUAAGAAAUAUGUCAGAGUUCUUAUUUUUAAUACCCUUGAGUUGUUGAAUACUUUGCAAUUAGUCCAGCAUUCCCCUGUGUUGAAUGUUUUCAAUUUUACUCAAAGUUAACAUUUUACACUUAUGCCCUGUAGGCAAAAUGAUUCAGUUCUUAACGUGUCUGCUAUAAACUAGUCAUAUCUCAGUCUGAACGGUCUCUGUUCCAAAGGAUGUUUAUACCCUACUGUAAUUUAACUGUCCUACACAGCCCUUCAUUAUCCAACUUGCUACUUAUUGUAAAAUAAUAUCUUUACUAUGAAGCUUUGUCUGCAGUUUUGGGUUUCUACAUAAUUAGGCUCCAGGUCUGUGGUGUUAGUCAAAUGACUCAUUCCUUUCAAAGUGUAUGAUAUUUCUAAGUUACCGGCUAUUAAAUUGUUGCUAUAGAUUUGUGAACCUCAGACAAAAAGUGGCUAGCUUAAAGAAUGUGUGUGUGGGUACCAGGUAUUUUUGCCAGUGGCUAGAAGCCCUAUCAGUUGAAAAUUAUAGAAGAGGAAAAAAUCUAUGGUGAACUCGUUGAUCAUGGUGUGACUAGAGGUUUGAUCAUGAAAAAGGCAAAUAUGUUACCUUAGGUAUUAUGCAGCGACAUUUCCAGUAGUGCAGGGUCAUAUGAAUGACAGUGUACAAGGCUCUGGAGAGGCGUUAUCUGGAAUGUAAAGCACAAACUUUGUCUCUAAAUUGAAUGAUCUAAAGCAGGGACAAUGCAAAGGAGGGCUGCUAUGAAUGCAGUACCAAUUUUGAUAGGCUAAGCAACCCAUGCUCUUUUGAUUUCUGCCUCUGAAGUAAAAGCAGAGAGAAGAUAUGAUCAAUUCUCUAUUUCUGUGGUGGUAAAUAUGUGAGGGAAAAUAACCAUUUAAAUUAGAGGACAAAUCUGGCUAUAAGAAUCAUGUCUCCACGUUGUCUAGUUAUCACCCACCAGAGCUAUGGUAAUGGGCAUUCACACCAUUCAGUUUCAUAUCUUCCAAAUGAUCAGCUAAGAUCACUAUUUAAUUACCCAUUUCAUUAACAUCUAGAUUUUGCAGCUGCAUGAGUAUUCUUACUGAUUUCUGUAGGACACCUUUGUGGGAAUGUAUGUGUUCAAGGAACAAUAUGCAUUAAAUCUCUUUCGAUCUCCUUACCCCAAAACAUUCAUUUCUCAGUUUAAAAACUAUAAAUGAGUUGCAAGUAAAAAAAAAAAAACAAAACAAAACACCAACCCCCAAACUCGAUAUAAAGAAACAAGUAGAAAACUGUAAUAAACAGAUGCAGAAAUAACUCCA
rnacentral:lncRNA from 1 species